UACGUAGGGGCCGAGCGUUGUCCGGAGUUAUUGGGCGUAAAGCGCGCGCAGGCGGCCUCGCGCGCCCGACGUGAAAGCCCCCGGCUUAACCGGGGAGGGUCGUUGGGGACGGCGGGGCUUGAGGGCGGGAGAGGGUGGUGGAAUUCCCGGUGUAGUGGUGAAAUGCGUAGAGAUCGGGAGGAACACCCGUGGCGAAGGCGGCCACCUGGGCCGACCCUGACGCUGAGGCGCGAAGGCGUGGGGAGCAAACAGG
rnacentral:rRNA from 1 species